GAUCUUGCGACAAUGGGCGAAAGCCUGACGCAGCAACGCCGCGUGCGGGAGGACGGCCUUCGGGUUGUAAACCGCUUUUCGGGGGGAAGAGGAAGGACGGUACCCCCGGAAGAAGUCUCGGCUAACUACGUGCCAGCAGCCGCGGUAAUACGUAGGGGGCGAGCGUUAUCCGGAAUUAUUGGGCGUAAAGGGUGCGUAGGCGGCCUUUUAAGUCAGAUGUGAAAGGCUACGGCUUAACCGUAGUUAGCAUUUGAAACUAAAAGGCUUGAGUGCAGGAGAGGAGAGUGGAAUUCCUAGUGUAGCGGUGAAAUGCGUAGAUAUUAGGAGGAACACCAGUGGCGAAGGCGACUCUCUGGACUGCAACUGACGCUGAGGCACGAAAGCGUGGGGAGCGAACAGG
rnacentral:rRNA from 1 species